GCUAGUGGAAGUGUAGUCUAAAGCUAACCAAAGUGCGAAUCACGUGACAUAUGUUGGGAGUGAACUCGUGUUCAUUCAGUAGCCAGUCAGUAAAGCACGAGGAAGGAAGCAAAGCGAACCAUCGAGGCAGGACAAAGGCUGACAAGUCUAUGAUUGGUGAUCUACACCUUCUUCAUAACCCAAGUUUUUUCUGAUGUCUGCCAUCAUUCCAGUUGACUCUCACAGUGGUGAACUUUAUAACAGCUGUCAGAAUGGGAACCAGAACAAUUACCUCGGUGAAAGCCAAAACAUUUUCAUUGUUCAACAAACCAAUGCAAAUCAUGUGACACUUGCUGAGAGUGCAUGUUCAUUCAGCAGGCAGUUGGUAAAGGACCAAAAAAACGAGCACAAAGCAAGGAAGGAAGGAUGAGAGUGGUUGUAUUCCAAUGGCUGUAAGCAUGAAAUCACCUGGCCUUGUGCGGAAGACAUCUAUGAAUCGAUCAACCAGAUGUAUACCUCUAAUUUAAACUCCUGAAAAUCCCCAUGGUUGCAGGUGGUGCAGACAGAAUGUGAGCCAGGAAGUACAUCUGUAAAAGCCCAGACAUUCCAUAUGUAGGAGUAUCUUCAUUCUUCAAGUCUGUACAAGAGAUCUAUAUGAGGAUGAUAGCCAAGAAAUACAGCAUUCAGCACAUCAUAUCAAUCCAACUGAAGGACAAAGUAUCCAUUGAUGUAGGUAAGUUAAGCAGAAAAUAACCUGUUUUACCUCACUGACAAAUUUGUUUCAAGAGCUAAAGCUAUUCAUGUGGAGUCAGCUUCAUAUUUAGACUGUGAACAACUCUA
rnacentral:lncRNA from 1 species